rnacentral:rRNA from 1 species
UCAGGAUGAACGCUGGCGGCGUGCUUAACACAUGCAAGUCGAACGAUGAACCUGGUGCUUGCACUGGGGGAUUAGUGGCGAACGGGUGAGUAACACGUGAGCAACCUGCCCCUGACUCUGGGAUAAGCGCUGGAAACGGCGUCUAAUACUGGAUAUGUGCCACGGCCGCAUGGUCUGUGGUUGGAAAGAUUUUUCGGUUGGGGAUGGGCUCGCGGCCUAUCAGCUUGUUGGUGAGGUAAUGGCUCACCAAGGCGUCGACGGGUAGCCGGCCUGAGAGGGUGACCGGCCACACUGGGACUGAGACACGGCCCAGACUCCUACGGGAGGCAGCAGUGGGGAAUAUUGCACAAUGGGCGGAAGCCUGAUGCAGCAACGCCGCGUGAGGGAUGACGGCCUUCGGGUUGUAAACCUCUUUUAGCAGGGAAGAAGCGAAAGUGACGGUACCUGCAGAAAAAGCACCGGCUAACUACGUGCCAGCAGCCGCGGUAAUACGUAGGGUGCAAGCGUUAUCCGGAAUUAUUGGGCGUAAAGAGCUCGUAGGCGGUUUGUCGCGUCUGCUGUGAAAUCCCGAGGCUCAACCUCGGGCUUGCAGUGGGUACGGGCAGACUUGAGUGCGGUAGGGGAGAUUGGAAUUCCUGGUGUAGCGGUGGAAUGCGCAGAUAUCAGGAGGAACACCGAUGGCGAAGGCAGAUCUCUGGGCCGUAACUGACGCUGAGGAGCGAAAGGGUGGGGAGCAAACAGGCUUAGAUACCCUGGUAGUCCACCCCGUAAACGUUGGGAACUAGUUGUGGGGUCCUUUCCACGGAUUCCGUGACGCAGCUAACGCAUU